CUACUAGCAACAGCUUAAAACUCAAAGGACUUGGCGGUGUUUAUAUCCCUCUAGAGGAGCCUGUUCUGUAAUCGAUAAACCCCGAUAAACCUCACCAGUCCUUGCUAAUACAGCCUAUAUACCGCCAUCUUCAGCAAACCCUAAAAAGGAGCCAUAGUAAGCAAAAUCAUGAAGCAUAAAAACGUUAGGUCAAGGUGUAGCCUAUGGACUGGGAAGAAAUGGGCUACAUUUUCUAGAGGGAUAUAGAACACAAACGAAAAUUUUCGUGAAAUCGAAAAUAGAAGGAGGAUUUAGUAGUAAAUUAAGAAUAGAGAGCUUAAUUGAAUAAGGCCAUGAAGCACGCACAC
rnacentral:rRNA from 1 species